rnacentral:rRNA from 1 species
GAUGAACGCUGGCGGCGUGCCUAACACAUGCCAGUCGAACGAAGCACCUUACCUGAUUCUUCGGAUGAAAGUUUGGUGACUGAGUGGCGGACGGGUGAGUAACGCGUGGGUAACCUGCCCUGUACAGGGGGAUAACAGCUGGAAACGGCUGCUAAUACCGCAUAAGCGCACGAGGAGACAUCUCCUUGUGUGAAAAACUCCGGUGGUACAGGAUGGGCCCGCGUCUGAUUAGCUGGUUGGCAGGGUAACGGCCUACCAAGGCAACGAUCAGUAGCCGGUCUGAGAGGAUGAACGGCCACAUUGGAACUGAGACACGGUCCAAACUCCUACGGGAGGCAGCAGUGGGGAAUAUUGCACAAUGGGGGAAACCCUGAUGCAGCAACGCCGCGUGAGUGAAGAAGUAUUUCGGUAUGUAAAGCUCUAUCAGCAGGGAAGAUAAUGACGGUACCUGACUAAGAAGCUCCGGCUAAAUACGUG